rnacentral:rRNA from 1 species
UUCACUUWGAAUCUGACCUCAAAUCA